ACUAACCGAGCUGAAUCCUAUUUCUCCCACGGGUCGCCGUUCCAACUGGCCGAGCGUUUCCGCCGAUCGGCUUUUUUUGAGCCAUCUGCCAGGGCAAAUAUAUUCCUGAGAGUGUCUACAGCAUCGUUCCUACACGUGACUACUGAGUUGGUAUGACGAUUCACAUCGGAGCAUGGGAGCGAGGCUUAGAAACCGGAAGCCCGGCUUUCUGCAUCGCUGCCCGCGAACAAUAAGACCGUCAAGUUCACGGCACCAGCUACAACCCUUGUAAGACGGUGAUAUAUUGAAGGAAGAACGCGAUUACAGCAGUCUUACACCUGCAGUUUGUCCCGACAGAUGCUUGACAAAACCGCGACGAAUUCAUCAAAAGACUGUCAUUUCGCAACAUCAAUUUGCCUCAAUGCAAUGCCGAACUCAUUGCUCACACAUAAAGCUCGCCCUUGAACCGUGAAUAUAUAUUGUGGGAAUACGUUAUAUUAUUCCACUUCCGUUUUGAGUGCUCCAAUACACCAUGUAAUUACACUCACAGGCAUUACAAUCGAGGGAGUACACUCCAAGGAGAGAGCGGUGAUUUAACUCGGUGAUGCAAGGACUACAAUGAGUUGAGGCCCCGGAGCAAUAAACCAGAAAUAUAUGGGGUAUUCCAUGCCAAAUUGACCACUUUUGUUCGGUUCAAACUCGACCCCUUUAAAUUUAGCUGAAACUUUAUCAUUCUUUUGUAUAAAAAAAAUAUUUUGAAAAUUUGACUAUUUUUUUUUUUCAAUUAAAUAAAAAAUAAUCAGCUCUGCCUGGGAUGAACGGCAAAAGUUGUCAGAUUGAAGUUUUUUUUGAGAAAAAAAAAUAACAAA